GGUAGCGUGGCCGAGUGGUCUAAGGCGUUGGAUUUAAGAGCACACCAAAUUCCUUGGUGGUUCAUCCCAAUGACGAAAGUCGCGCGGGUUCAAAUCCCGCCGCUACCA